rnacentral:lncRNA from 1 species
AAGGAACAAGGUAGCCUGUGAAAGCUGAUAUUUGAAAUGUCUCACAACAAGUCUCACAAGUCUCACCAGUCUCACGAAUACAUGUGCUGGAGCGUCCCACUUCCCCAGGAAGAUGCUGGGAACCAGAGAUGGCAUGAGGGUGCCAUGGUACUGACAGCGGAGGAGACAGCUGAGGGGAGGUGUGACAGAUUUCAUUACUGAUCCAAGUAUUGAUUCCGGCAGGCGUCCAAGACACAACCAAAAAAUAAAAAAUAAAGACGGAUGCCUCCGAUUCCUUUA